rnacentral:rRNA from 1 species
AUACGGAGGGGGCUAGCGUUGUUCGGAAUUACUGGGCGUAAAGCGCACGUAGGCGGACUGAUCAGUUGGGGGUGAAAUCCCAGGGCUCAACCCUGGAACUGCCUCCAAUACUGUCAGUCUUGAGAUCGGAAGAGGUGAGUGGAAUUCCUAGUGUAGAGGUGAAAUUCGUAGAUAUUAGGAGGAACACCAGUGGCGAAGGCGGCUCACUGGUCCGAUACUGACGCUGAGGUGCGAAAGCGUGGGGAGCAAACAGGAUUAGAUACCCUUGUAGUCC